UCAGUUAGGAUAUUAAUAAUGAGCAAUUAUGGUGCAGGGUUUUCCCCUCAAUGCACACCGUGUGUAUACACAAUAAAUUGAACGAAUAAUAUUUUAGUGUCCCGUUAUGCCUAUCAAAUGAAACGAGAGGGAGGGGCGACAGGCUUAAAUUAAAGCUAUAUAAAAUGCAAUAGCCUUGGCUACUAAAUACAUGUUUAAAGUCAGGGGGUUCAAAAACGUUGCUGUGGAAAUUCUAAAAUGUCUUGACAACAUGGUCUAACUGUACUUUUCCCUCAUUGAUUGCAAUACUUAUUGGCAGUGAUAUAUAUGUAGUCUAUUGAAAUAAUCGUAUUUGGAUUUAUUGAACACAUUUUCUUUUUUUCUCCUAUUGUCUUGUCGCUCGGAAUCAUCAUGUUUCCAUGGUAAUCUGACUGGCAAAACUGAUGUCAAAGCUUCAGGGAGAGGCGAGUAGUAGACUUGCACAAAGCUUUCAGCGCACGGUCAGCGUCUCAGCAGUGUAGUGUCAUUCGAACGCGGUAUGCAAAACUCCACGGAAUCUUGAGGAUGGUGAAUGAGAGAACUCAUUAUUGAGCGUACUAGAGCACAAAUGAUCUGUCAGUCGGCUAUCGCCUGCACUGUCGCCUGCAAUGUCGAACAAGCCCAAUGAGAAGGACAUGAUGCGGCGAUUCAAUUGUCAUAAGUGGAGACUGACUGCAAUGUAAGGCCAAAUCAUUCAGGGGAUCUACUAUGCUGAAGACACCCCUAGUUGACUGAUUGCGGAAGUUGCAUACUUUUGGCAUUAUGCACAACUUUUUGGAGGCUAAUUUGGAACCCAAGUGGUCACCAUUCUGCUUUUCUUCUCUGCUUUUCCAAGACACAUUAGCUGGACUGAAAUAUACUUUUACUGUAUUGAAGACCUAGUUCAAUAUAUGUUAUCUUGUGAAAUAUGUUGGAGAUGUUUAUUUAGUGAACUUAUAAGAUAAAGUUAAACCUUGAUGUGUUUUUGCCUUACUUUGCAAGCCAUAUUGGUUUGUGUAAGGAUCCAGAAAUAUUAUGCAUGAUAUGAUUUAUCAUUAGUGUGUAUGUCUGUCAUUUUGUCUUGCAUUCAUUUUGCAAGUUGCCAUAUUUCCAUUGUGAAGAUGUGUGGUAACAAAAGCACAGUAAAGAUGACCAUCUCCUA